GAUGAACGCUGGCGGCGUGCUUAACACAUGCAAGUCGAACGGAAAGGCCCCUGCUUGCCGGGGUACUCGAGUGGCGAAGGGGUGAGUAACACGUGGGGGAACUGCACUGCACUUCGGGAUAAGCCUGGGAAACUGGGUCUCAUACCGGAUAGGACGAUGUGUUCGAUGCCGUUGUGGAAAGUUAUUCGGUGUGGGAUGGGCUCGCGGCCUAUCAGCUUGUUGGUGGGGUAAUGGCCUACCAAGGCGUCGACGGAUAGACGGCCUGGGAGGGUGUACGGCCACAUUGGGCCUGAGGUAGGGCCCAGACUCGUACGGGAGGCAGCAGUGGGGAAUAUUGCACAGUGGGCGCAAGCCUGAUGCAGCGACGCCGGGUGGGGGAUGACGGCCUUCGGGUUGUAAACUCCUUUCGCUAGAGACGAAGCGCAAGUGACGGUACCUGGAGAAGAAGCACCGGCUAACUACGUG
rnacentral:rRNA from 1 species